AUUGAACGCUGGCGGCAUGCCUUACACAUGCAAGUCGAACGGCAGCAUGGAGAGCUUGCUCUCUGAUGGCGAGUGGCGAACCGGUGAGUAAAGCAUCGGAACGUACCGUGUAGUGGGGGAUAACGUAGCGAAAGUUACGCUAAUACCGCAUACGCACUGAGGUGGAAAGCAGGGGAUCGCAAGACCUUGCGCUAUACGAGCGGCCGAUGUCAGAUUAGCUAGUUGGUAGGGUAAAGGCCUACCAAGGCGACGAUCUGUAGCGGGUGUGAGAGGAUGAUCCGCCACACUGGGACUGAGACACGGCCCAGACUCCUACGGGAGGCAGCAGUGGGGAAUUUUGGACAAUGGGGGAAACCCUGAUCCAGCCAUGCCGUGUGAGUGAAGAAGGCCUUCGGGUUGUAAAGCUCUUUCGGCCGGGAAGAAAUCGCACAGGCUAAUACUCUGUGUGGAUGACGGUACCGGCAUAAGAAGCACCGGCUAACUACGUGCCAGCCGCCGCGGUAA
rnacentral:rRNA from 1 species